GACGAACGCUGGCGGCGUGCUUAACACAUGCAAGUCGAACGGAAAGGCCCUGCUUUUGUGGGGUGCUCGAGUGGCGAACGGGUGAGUAACACGUGAGUAACCUGCCCUUGACUUUGGGAUAACUUCAGGAAACUGGGGCUAAUACCGGAUAGGAGCUCCUGCUGCAAGGUGGGGGUUGGAAAGUUUCGGCGGUUGGGGAUGGACUCGCGGCUUAUCAGCUUGUUGGUGGGGUAGUGGCUUACCAAGGCUGUGACGGGUAGCAGUCCUAAGAGGGUGACCGGCCACAUCGGGACUACGAACCGGCCCAUACUCCUCCGGGGGGCAGCAGUGGGGAUUAUUGCACACUGGGCGGUAGCCGGUUUCAGCAACGCCGCGUGCGGGAUGACGGCCAUCGGAUUGUAAACCGCUUUUGCCUGUGACGAAGCGUGAGUGACGGUAAUGGGUAAAGAAGCACCGGCUAACUACGUG
rnacentral:rRNA from 1 species